AGAGUUUGAUCAUGGCUCAGAACGUACGCUGGCGGCACGCCUAACACAUGCAAGUCGAACGAAGUAGCAAUACUUAGUGGCAGACGGGUGAGUAACAUGUAGGUAUCUGCCCUUUGGCCUGGAAUAACACGAGGAAACUUGUGCUAAUACCGGAUAAGUCUUUACAGAGAAAGCUUUAUGCACCAUUGGAUGAGCCUGCACUUGAUUAGUUUGUUGGUGGGGUAAUGGCCUACCAAGACUGUGAUCAAUAGCUGAUUUGAGAGGAUGAUCAGCCACAUUGGGACUGAGACACGGCCCAAACUCCUACGGGAGGCAGCAGUGGGGAAUCUUGCACAAUGGAGGAAACUCUGAUGCAGCGAUGCCGCGUGAGUGAAGAAGGCCUUUGGGUUGUAAAGCUCUUUCGUCGGGGAAGAAAAUGACUGUACCCGAAUAAGAAGGUCCGGCUAACUUCGUGCCAGCCGCCGCGGUAAUAC
rnacentral:rRNA from 1 species